UUAAGCGUGUAGGCUGGUUUUCCAGGCAAAUCCGGAAAAUCAAGGCUGAGGCGUGAUGACGAGGCACUACGGUGCUGAAGCAACAAAUGCCCUGCUUCCAGGAAAAGCCUCUAAGCAUCAGGUAACAUCAAAUCGUACCCCAAACCGACACAGGUGGUCAGGUAGAGAAUACCAAGGCGCUUGAGAGAACUCGGGUGAAGGAACUAGGCAAAAUGGUGCCGUAACUUCGGGAGAAGGCACGCUGAUAUGUAGGUGAAGCGACUUGCUCGUGGAGCUGAAAUCAGUCGAAGAUACCAGCUGGCUGCAACUGUUUAUUAAAAACACAGCACUGUGCAAACACGAAAGUGGACGUAUACGGUGUGACGCCUGCCCGGUG
rnacentral:rRNA from 1 species